UACGGAGGGGGCUAGCGUUGUUCGGAAUUACUGGGCGUAAAGCGCGCGUAGGCGGACCUGCAAGUCGGGGGUGAAAGCCCGAGGCUCAACCUCGGAACUGCCUUCGAUACUGCGGGUCUCGAGUCCGGGAGAGGUGAGUGGAAUUCCUAGUGUAGAGGUGAAAUUCGUAGAUAUUAGGAAGAACACCAGUGGCGAAGGCGGCUAUCUGGACGGUUUCUGACGCUAAGACGCGAAAGCGUGGGGAGCAAACAGG
rnacentral:rRNA from 1 species